rnacentral:lncRNA from 1 species
GUCAAUUGCUAAGAACUGGGUCACUGCCCAGCCCUGGAGCCAGGAAAGGGGUCAGCCCCACCCGAGCUACAGGAACAGGCAAUAGGAAAGGGAUGAUUUUUUUCCAAAUGAAAAUAAAUCAUGGUGCUAGUACCAGAGGAAGGGGGGAUGGAUGCUGGGCAGGCCAAAACAAUAGAUGCCCACUGAAGAAGCACUCCAUUCCCAGGUCAUCCUUGUUAAUAAGGAAGUGGGAGGGACAGGAACCAAAAACACUUAUUUAUGAGGAUCCGGGCCAGGGUCAGGCAUCGAGCAUCAGCAACUCCCUACCCUGCCUUUCUACACAGUAGCACAGUCUUUAUAUGAUAGAAAUUUGGUUGCAGCUUCAAUGUGACAUACACAUGCUUUCAACUCUCAAGGCUAACGGCCACUACUGACAGAUGAAGGGGCUUCCUCAGGGGCAGAGGCACAGUGUCCGGUGAUACAGGCUGGCACCUCGAGAAUCAGGGAUGGGAUUUUCCUGGGAGCCACAGGGUUCAUACUUGAGGGAGGCUUGGGAGUUUUUCACUCUCUGCAUAAUGGGUCUGUUCCCCUGGGGAUAACCCACGACAAGAUAUGCCUUGUGAAUGUGGGUGGCAGAGGGACACACAGGUGCAGGGGCAUCUUCCAGCCCUGGACGGUGCCACAUGAGGGAUGGAUGUAAGACUGGCCAUAUAGGUGAAGUGUCCGAGGCUCAGAGAGAUGGCAGGGUUCACCUCUGGACAGAGCAGGACAGAACUAGAAUGAAUGUAUAACACCGGGGAAAAGAUUGUUAGUGAGAAAUGCUCCACACAAACACAUUCCAAGAACAUGAGUGAGAGAAAGAGAUGGACUGUGCUUGGUGGUGGUGGUUCGGUGCACUUCCCUCCGGGUUGGGCUGGGCUGUGGUGACAGAGGAGAUGGGUACAAGGGAAUUAUGAGAAUUUUAGAUGCAUUGCUCAAAAUUUAGGGGCUUGGUGUGUCCAGACUUUGAUGUGGGAUAAGAGAAAAGGAGAGCCCUCACGGCGGGACAUAAAUGGGUUAAUCAGGUUGGGAGAAGUGGGUGUCCAGAUAAUUCCACCCACAAGUCCAAGUGGGGAGCCUGGGUCCAAGCAGAAAAGACAGUUUCCUCCUUUAGCAAUCAAAGGAGUCCAGAGGGGGUGCCCAGCCUUGGGCCAGAGGGAGAAAGGAAGAGGGAAAGCUUUGCUCUGAGGAUGAGGUUUAGAGCAGAAGGAAACAGAGACCACCCAGAAAAGGGAGACUUUUCCUGUGCCAAGGCGGAGACCCAGGGGACUGUGCACAGUUAUCUCGGCCCUUUGAGCGCCUCCGUUUCCCUUGUCUGUGGUCAAGCCUAGCUCUGUAUUCCAGCCAGCUGUGGGAGGAUGGGGUGACAAAGUGAUGCUCAAAGAGAAUGUGGGGCCAGCAGGGGCAGCCCAGGACUCUGGACUGAGGCCUUCAACAGAGAAGUCUCCCCCUCCCCCUCCC